GCGUACGGCCCUACCACCCUGAAAGCGCCUGAUCUCGUCUGAUCUCGGAAGCUAAGCAGGGACGGGCUUGCUUAGUACCUGGAUGGGAGACCGCCUGGGAAUACCAGGUGUUGUAGGCU
rnacentral:rRNA from 1 species